rnacentral:rRNA from 1 species
UACGGGGGGGGCAAGCGUUGUUCGGAAUUACUGGGCGUAAAGGGCGCGUAGGCGGCUUUUCAAGUCGGGCGUGAAAUCUCCAGGCUUAACCUGGAAGGGUCGUUCGAUACUGUUAAGCUAGAGUGUGGAAGAGGCUACUGGAAUUCCGUGUGUAGCGGUGAAAUGCGUAGAUAUACGGAGGAACACCUGCGGCGAGGGCGGCAUCCUGGACUGGUCCUGACACUGAUGAGCGAAAGCCAGGGGAGCAAACGGG